rnacentral:rRNA from 1 species
GUGCCAGCCGCCGCGGUAAUACGUAGGGUGCAAGCGUUAAUCGGAAUUAUUGGGCGUAAAGGGUGCGCAGGCGGAUGUAUAAGUCAGAUGUGAAAUCCCCGGGCUUAACCUGGGAAUUGCGUUUGAAACUAUAUGACUAGAGUGUGAUAGAGGGGAGUGGAAUUCCAUGUGUAGCAGUGAAAUGCGUAGAGAUGUGGAAGAACACCGAUGGCGAAGGCAGCUCCCUGGAUUAACACUGACGCUCAUGCACGAAAGCGUGGGGAGCAAACAGGAUUAGAUACCCCCGUAGUCC